UUGGCAAAUAGGAAUGCUCCUCACUGGAGUACAGGACAGUCAACUGCCAUGCUGCUCAUGCGGACACAACCUUCGUUCACAAUUGGACAUGCUCAAACCUGACAUUCAUAACCAUGUUAGUGGUAAGCAAGUCAAUCAGACAGCAUCACGCAAGUCUGCCAGUGUGACCUGAGAGUUUCACAUUGGUCAAAUAGUAUCUGUUCACAACGAUCAUGUUAAUGCUUGUUGGGCCAAACAUGGUGUUGGGCACCAAACAAGAUGUAGUACAGACACGUAGAUCAACUCAUCAACUCGGACACUGCAAGGGAAUUAACCAUCUUGUUCCAGAGAUAUGCUUCCAACAGAUCCAGUAGUUCAUGUAACCUGUAUCAUCACCGGCUAAGCCAGAGCAAGUACUUCCACAAGAAACACAGACUCCAGCAGAAUCACCAACGUAAGCAAUCCCUGGACCGGAGUAGCAGGGCACCGCUACUCAACUCGCAAUUGCAGACCCGCAGAUAAACUUAAUCUUUGAUAAUCAAACAAAACCUUUAAAAAACUCAGCAGACAUUGUUUGAAGGUUUAGUUCUUAAGGUUUUAUUCACACCUCUUCAUAAGUCCAGAGACCAGCAUAUUAUGUAUUAGGCGAAGAGAAAAACAAAGUGUAAACUGUUGAAAUCAAAAAACUUAAAUUGCCAUUUCAUCUCGGUUUCAUGCAGUAUAGACAUAAUACUAAUAUUUAUUAUAUUACAUAGCACAAAACGGGAUUUGCAAAUAAUUGCACCUGCCCCACUCACUUGCAUUACAUUUUAUUCAUUAGCCACCAUAGCUUGUUAACAUCUUCCUUAUUUAAAUUUCCUUAAAAUGUAAAAUAAUUAUCUAAAUGGUAAGGAGGAAUUGUAAUGUAUUGUGCAUAACUGGAAAUAUUCAAGUACUACAGCAUACAACUUGUAUAUAGUUGUAAGGGGAUGACCUAAUUCCAUGUGACCAUAAUAAAUAACUUUCUACAAUGUGGCAGCUCCCUUUGUCACAGUGACUGUCAAUUUCCCCAGUUAAUAACCCUACAAAUACACUACUUUUCAAUAAGUAAAUUUUUCAAUCUAUCUCGUAAUGACUCAUAAUGUACAGGACGAACAAGCUUGCAGUGUCAAGCAUGGUGCACAAGUGCCUCAUACCACCGCAGCUGAAUAUAAACUUCACCUUGUACUAAUUGAGUUGUAGGUCAUGUGACUUGAUUUUAUCACAUACAGCAUGCAGUUCUCCAAUACAUUUUUCGUGAACUUUUCUUCAAGUCCACUUGCUAGUGAUUGGCAAAUGUAACAGAUUUUGUAAAUUGUUUCCCACUGUGGUAAAGUAUGGAGGAAGGAAUGUCAUCUAUAAGGAAAGUAACUGUAAGAUCAGUCAGUAGAGAUUAGCAAAGUUGAAAGGAAUUCAACAAUUCCAUUUAUUGAUCGCUUUUCUGAGAGGCCUCGCCCCAUACUUGCUGACGUCGAUAUCUAGUAUGAAAUAAAAUGUUGUUCUCCAACAAAUAAAUAUGUACAGAAUCUGUAUUUGUGCUUUUACCAUGCAGUAUUAGGUCUUAAAUUUGUCUCUGUCACAUUGAUUUGCGUGAGGACACUGGUAUGCUUUAUUCAAAUGUAAGUCACUUGCCUCUUUUAUCACAAGCACAUCAUGAAUUUCUGUAAUAUACAUUUUUUUUAUCUAUUGAUUGUGAGUCCCAUCCGCAAAGAUUGGCAGAAGUAUGAAAUACAUCCUUUGAAUCAUUCGUCUUGUAAACCCCAUCUAUUCAGGAGUAGCUGCUCUCAACCACACCAGCAAAUCAGAAGUCAUUUCUCAAAUAAUCCCAUGUAAAACUUUAAUGUAAAGUUUACUUUCCUCAACAGCAUUUGUAGAAUUGUGUGAGAAAAAUGCUGUCACUUUUGUACUGCAGUUUGCAUACCAUACUUUCAGAUGGAUCCAGCAAGUGCUUUAAUUAUUCCUGUAACACUGAGGACUAAGGGGUGGAGGUCUGCACACAGAACUGGUGAUCAUGCAUCACUUUUUGAGGCGAGUUAAUGUGGAGGAAGAUUUGACAUUGAUGAGGAAUAUCUUUAAGGAAAUAGGAAGAUCAGGUUAGUUAUGCAUGUCUGAUUUUCAAGUGGCAAGGUGUUUCGUGACUUUCGCUCAGGCCUUCAAUAUUAUUGCCUCCAAAAACAAUCCACCUUGGUUCAUUGUGUACCGAGUUUGAAAGUUCACCUGUAAAGCCCUCGUAAUUUGGCACUAAACUCUUUAACCCCAAAGCACUGGCGACAGAAUUAGGCAUAGGUGCACCAGUUGCCCCCUACUUUUCAGACUGGGGGCACCCCCUGCCCACUUUUAGCAGGCCCUUUGAUGGGUUGGGACUUCUUCAAUCAGCCUAUUAAUAGCUGAAGCCUAAUGGUAUCACAGCUGGCCCCCCUCAUUUCAAUGCAGCACUGUUGCCUCAAAUAGAGUAUCAGGUUUUACUUCUGUGUUUCUUUGAUACUUUUUGUGAUUUUUUAAUUGACUGCAAAGUGCAUCAAAAUGUCCAGUUACUGCAGAGAUGCACUCCAGAUGAGAUGCCAGGUCUCUGAUCAUGACCAUGAUGGUAAAUUGGCUGUGUAUCUUCAUAAGCCUUCGUGCUAAGUGGUUGCGCUAUAACAUCAACUCACCAACAAGAUUCACCCAGUUUAAAACAAGAAGAAAAUUUUUAUUCUUUAGUGUACUUUAACAAUAACAACCUUGACAAUCAAUCAAUGGAUAAGUAGUUCUUUGAGAUCUCAAAUCAAAAAAAUGCACGUAGAAAAAAAUCUUCAACCGGUUGAGCUACAUUUCUAACCCUGAUAACAGUCAGUGUCCAAACACUAUAUGGAGGCUUAAGAAUCCACAGUUCAAUUCUUAUAUCCCAGAAUCCCUCAUCGACUUAGGUGGUGCACCAAGUCUCAUUUCGAGGAUCCGUGCAAGUUGUCUGGUGGUUCCUCGUCUGAAAUCAGGUACCACAAUGUAUGUCCGGUCCACACUGAUUGAACUGCACAGCCUUGCCUGUGGUUCCUGCUGACCAUAGUUCAGGUUAGAGGGUAGAGGUCAAUGGUCAAUCCAGGGUGGCCUCCCACUCAUCAGUUACAGUUCAACUUGACUGCCACGGGCCAGUCGUGAUGUGAUGUCUUGUGGCAACUCCACACUACACAGUAAUAUUGUUCUACACCAACCAUAUGUAGGUCAACAACGCUUGCAAUCACAAUCUGAGAGGGUGGAAACUGAGAGCCACAGGCUUAACUGGAACAAAAAUAACUAGCUUUAUAUUGGUAAAACUUUGACGUGACAAGAUGAGAUCACAUGAAAAACAUGGCAUCAAGCAAGCGAGUGAGCCAACAGGCACUCAUCACAAGAGGGCGCUAUACCAUUUUGCAGCGGGCUACAUCAUUGUAACCAUAGGUUAACAGUUUUCCUGUUGACCUUGACAUUUCUCUGUGUCUUGAAGGUUAGGCUUGCUGCACAUACAGUAAUCUCCUUGCAAAGAACGUUUCUUGUAACGAAUAUUGAUAAUCAUCUGUUUGUCUUUGCUUGUAGAUUAUGCUUGCUCAAGGAAGUGACAGUGCCUGAAAUCCACAAUGAUAGCUAACAUAGAGUUAAUUAUGAUAAAAAUGCUAGUUUUUAUUUUUAACGAAUGCUUUUGAGGAUUGAAUCAAUACUAAUAUUUCAGGAGAAUGAAAACUCAAAAGAUUUGGGAGUGUUGUGUUGUAUUCCCAGGGGAAGGGGAUCUCUUUCCCACCUGGGCCUAGUUAGCCCCAUCCUUGCUGUGGGCUGUGGUCCUGUGAAGAGGUUGUAAACUUGUUUCAGGACCAGGCAGAGUUUGCAAAACAUGCUUUGAGAUGGAUCUUUCAAGUGCUCCAAUGAUGCCUGUAACACUGAGGGACAGAUGACUGCAAACACAGAAAGGGUGAAUACGCUGUUGCAACUAAUAUACUUGAAGCAGAGGUGGCUAGUCAAGGAUUUUGCUGAAACCUAGGUACCAGAAGUGGGGAUGCACAGGAGAAAGUCUGACAGAUGACUGCCGACCCCAUUGGCUGUAUAUCACGUAUAAGUUUUUCUUGAGUACAGGAUCUGAAGCUAGACUUCUUGAAGAUGAAGAGACAGCUGAUGAGCCGAUGUGAGAGGACAGUAUCCCUGACAUUGUCAGGAGCCAGAAGCUGGGAGGAAGGACAUAUUACAGCACUGAUAAAUUGGGGACAAGUUUUGCACUGGGUCUUCACUAGACUGGAUUCCAAACAGUUAAAGAUGAAGGGAGAGUAUCCUUGCCAGCCUUCCAGGAUCCGGAAGCGGGGAGGAGGAACGACAGAUGACCAGUGACCCUACUUGCUGAGCGAGCCGUUUCUACUUUUUGAGCAAGUGCAUCAACCAGUCCGGGAAGUACUGCAGAGAUUAACUCUAGAUAUAAGAUUCCAGGUCUCUGAUCAAGCCUUUGAUGAUUCUGCUGGUCAAAGUAAGAGACAGAACUGAUACUUGAAUACCAACUGCAGAUCCAUCCCCCUCAGAUAGAGUUGCUGACUCAAGUCAUAUGACUUGGACUCGAGUUGCUAUUUUUGUGACUUGUGACUUGACUUGGACUUGCAAAAAAUGAAUAGUUACCAACUGAAGUCAGAUGCUACUCAACUGGCCCCAUGUAUUUUUAAUUAAACUAUUCAGUAAUUACGCCUUAUGUGCAAAAAAAAAAGGAAUUAGGCUUGCGCGGCUUCUAGUUCACCCAACUGUAGCUGUAGAUGCAUAUCGUGCUGAUACGUUGCCUUGCAUUGAUGCGUGACUGGGAUAAACAGCGUCCUCAAUACGUUGUCAUUGAAAAGCAAACGUAGUGGCUUCUAGCAGUGUUGUUCCACAGUUGGUUAGUUUCGUGUAUCUCGACUAUAAUACCACCGCAAGUAAACGGUCUGCUGUUUGUAAAAUAUGUGGAUCUACUGUCACUGAUGGCUCAAACACAAGAAGUAAUUUCGUGCGUCAUCUUAAAACCCACGACGAACAAUGAGUAGUAAUGUUGCGACUUUUUUGGGAAUGCGUAAAUAGGCCUAGGCCUACAUGAAAUAGAUUUUUGGCCAUUCAGGGCUGUAUGUCAUUGUUUUUAUAAUCUCUUGCUACAAAUGGCUAUUGAAUCUAAGUAACUGAAAAGCCUCUGGUACUUGAAAAUCUGCCCAAAACUAAAUGCACAUAUAUACUUAAUAAAUAAUAAUGCAAAAAAAUAAUUACAAAAUAAUCCCACUAUUCAAUAAUGUUUGAUUUUUGUAUUAAACAAAAUUGCAGGCAAUAUAUUUUUCCAAAUUUCAGCACAUUACAGUAACAAAUCACUCCAUUUCAGAGAAAAAAGCACAUUACACUUACUUCACACUGCAAUACAACUAAAUUGAUUAAAUAAUUCUAUUUAAAUUCUUGCACAGAUAUAAAGCAUACCUUGACUCCAAGAUGAUGCAAGAGGAUACCAGGCAGAUAACAUCCUUCUUUUCGAGCUCAGAUGCUAUAUAUGGUGAAACCCAUCACAAUCAGCGAGCCAUUACAGAAGCCAUCAUAUCUGAUUUGAUUUUUGACUGUGCUAUGCCAUUGUCAAUUAUUGAGAAUGACAGUUUUUGCCAUUCUUGUUGGUCCAUUCUUGGUCAAAUUGUUGCGAUGCAGCAAAACAUCAUCCAGUGUAGACUUGAGAAUUCAGCUUGGGUUUCGGCUACAAUUGAUAUUUGGUCAGAUCGACAAAUGAAAGGAUAUUUUGGUGUAACCCGCCACACCAUUGAAAUUGACAAGUUUGACAUCAGUUUGAGGUCAUACUUGCUUGCCUGUCACCGUUUCAAAGGGUCUCACACAGGUGAAAAGAUAAGUGAUGCCUUCGAGGCUGUAUGCGAUGAGUAUAAGAUCAAAAACAAAGUUAACUACAUCUUGUCAGAUACAGCAAGCAACAUGAGGAAGGCAUUCACUGUCUGCUUUCCACAAACAGAUAACUUGGAAGAGACAGAUGCUAGUGAGCCGAAUGAUCUAGAUGAUGGAAGUUUAUGGAAGGAGUUACCUGCAGAGGCACAGGAAGAUAUGGAUCUGGCUCUGACCAGAAACUCUAAUAGGCAACGACUUCUGUGCUUUGCAUAUACCCUCCAACUGGCAUUGUCAGAUGGAUUGAAAGAAACCAAGACUACAAACAUGGCCAUGAGUAAGGCUUCAAAACUAUAUACAUUGCUGUAUAGCAGUUGUACUUUCAAGGAGGCGUUUGAGAAGGAUUUUUGCUCAAAGGCAUCCCAGCACUUGUGCACACCAAAUGAAAUUCAACACUGAGGCAAGUCAGGGCAAUCACUAGUCUUGACUACCAAAAGCUGUGUUAAGUUAUUGGAAGACCAAGGGCACAGCGAAGUGAAGUUUAAAGCAAGGGAAUGGAGUCAACUGCAAGAAUUGGUAACAAUAUUGGACCCGUUCCCGGAAGCCACUAACUUGGCACAAGGAGAGCAUGUUGUCACCAUCUGUGUUGUUCUGCCUUGCAGCUUGUCACUCCGCCACCAUCUGCAGGACAUAUACGUGAAUGUUCGCUACAUGACUACCCUAGUCAGAGCCUUCAAAGACUCACUGUGGAAGCGAUUCAUUGGCAUCUUUGCUACUGUAGGAAUGGCAGAUUCCCAAGAAGUAAUCAGUGACCUGCCAUUUGGGGAUCCCAUGUACCUUACUGCAGCUGUACUGGACCCGGCGUUCUGUAUGAUGUGGAUUGAGGAAGACGGUCUGACGUCAGAAGAUGAAAAAGCCAACUUAAAGAAACUUGUCCUGGAUACUGUUAUUACCAGGGCUACUGAAGCCAGCAAAGUACCAGUGGAAACCAUUACUUCUUCUGCUAGUAGCGAGUAGGAGGAUGUUCCUCCACAGAAGGUUGCUUGACUUUUCGCAAGUUACGAGAGAAGCAGACGCAAGAGUAGCAGCACCAAUACGUCUAUAGCAGCCCAAUAUCACAGAUACAUAGAAGUGGCCUCCGAGUAUGGCGAUUGUGAGAGAGGUCCUUAUGCUUGUCUGAACUUCUGAUUGGCAAAUAAGACCAGCCUCUCCAAAUUUCCUCUUGUUAUCAGGGUGCUGUCUAUCCCUGCUACUAGUUCCCCCAUUGAAUGUGUGCUCAGUCAUAGUGGAAUAAUUAUGAGGCCAUACAGAGCAAAGAUGGGUGAUGCUAUGCUAUCAGAUCUUGUUUAUUUGAAGUGCAACAGUUUGUACAUGAAAAAAUAGAUGCAGCAAAAAAGUUUCAUUUCAGAAAAUGGACCUCAGGCUCAGUGAUUGAAUUCAGUAAAAUGAUUAGUUCCCAUCGAUUUCAGUUUUCAAAAAGACUGUCGAAACAAACUACAGUUUUCAAUCACCAAGUCUCUUGCAUAAAUAAUAGUUGAAUAAACUUUGAAAGGAACCUUACCUUUUAUGAAUAGGAAGUACACUUUUGUCAAUUUCAUGCUAGUUAGUCACACAGUCAUGUUAGGUAAACUAACUACAUGUAGCCUUACCCAUUGGUAGCACUUAGUAUACAUGAAACUUGAACAAUAAAAUGUAAAAAUACUACAUGUAAUCAGGCGAGUGAAGUCUUUUUAUUUCAUCUUUCAUUUCUAUUUCCACCAUGCAAAGUACAUUUAUUAAACUAAACAGAGGUCCAAAGUAAUGUAAUAAACUGCAAAAACAGAAAUAACAACACAAGUGAAAAAGGGGAAUUACAGAGGCAUUGUCAAAAUAAUUGGAGAAAAGGUGUUCAGCUGUCCAAAACUCAUAACUCCUAACUUAAUAUGUUGAUACCUGGUUCUUUUUGCUUAUUACAGCUGGACAAAAUAAUGUGCAGCUUGACUUGUACUUGGAAAAAGAGACU